rnacentral:rRNA from 1 species
GACGAACGCUGGCGGCGUGCUUAACACAUGCAAGUCGAGCGGUAAGGCCUCUUCGGGGGUACACGAGCGGCGAAUGGGUGAGUAACACGUGGGUGACCUGCCCUCAGCUCUGGGAUAAGCCUGGGAAACUGGGUCUAAUACCGGAUAUGACCUUUCCUCGCAUGGGGUUUGGUGGAAAGUUUUUUCGGCUGGGGAUGGGCCCGCGGCCUAUCAGCUUGUUGGUGGGGUGAUGGCCUACCAAGGCGACGACGGGUAGCCGGCCUGAGAGGGCGACCGGCCACACUGGGACUGAGACACGGCCCAGACUCCUACGGGAGGCAGCAGUGGGGAAUAUUGCGCAAUGGGCGGAAGCCUGACGCAGCGACGCCGCGUGGGGGAGGACGGCCUUCGGGUUGUAAACCUCUUUCGACCCCGACGAAUUUGGACGGUAGGGGUAGAAGAAGCACCGGCCAACUACGUG